CCUACGGGUGGCAGCAGUGGGGAAUAUUGGGCAAUGGGCGCAAGCCUGACCCAGCAACGCCGCGUGAAGGAAGAAGGCUUUCGGGUUGUAAACUUCUUUUCUCAGGGACGAAGAAAGUGACGGUACCUGAGGAAUAAGCCACGGCUAACUACGUGCCAGCAGCCGCCGUAAUACGGAGGGGGCAGGCGUUCUCCGGAUUUACUGGGUGUAAAGGGCGUGUGGGCGGGACUGCAAGUCAGAUGUGAAAACCACGGGCUCAACCUGUGGCCUGCAGUUGAAACUGUAGUUCUUGAGUACUGGAGAGGCAGACGGAAUGCGUGGUGUAGCGGUGAAAUGCGUAGAUAUUAGGAGGAACACCAGUGGCGAAGGCGGUCUGCUGGACAGCAACUGACGCUGAGGCGCGAAAGCGUGGGGAGCAAACAGGAUUAGAUACCCUGGUAGUC
rnacentral:rRNA from 1 species